rnacentral:rRNA from 1 species
GAUGAACGCUGGCGGCGUGCCUAAUACAUGCAAGUCGAGCGAACAGACGAGGAGCUUGCUCCUCUGACGUUAGCGGCGGACGGGUGAGUAACACGUGUAUAACCUACCUAUAAGACUGGGAUAACUUCGGGAAACCGGAGCUAAUACCGUAUAAUAUAUUGAACCACAUGGUUCAAUAGUGAAAGACGGUUUUGCUGUCACUUCUCGAUGGAUCCCCGCCGCAUUAGCUAGUUGUUAAGGUAACGGCUUACCAAGGCAACGAUGCGUAGCCGAACUGAGAGGGUGAUAGGCGACACUGGAACUGAGACACGGUCAAGACUCCUAAGGGAGGCAGCAGUAGGGAAUCGGACGCAAUGGGCGAAAGCCUGACGGAGCAAGGGCGCGUGAGUGAUGAAGGUCUUGGGAGCGUAAAAAUCUGUUAUGAGGGAAGAACAAAUGUGUAAGUAAAUAUGCACGUAUUGACGGUACCUAAUCAGAAAGCCACGGCUAACUACGUG